GCGUCGGUAGUGCAAUGGAUUAGAACACGCGCGUCCGGAUAAGGUGAAAUGCGGGUUCGACUCCUGCCUGGCGCA